rnacentral:rRNA from 2 species
UUUAAUUCGAAGCAACGCGAAGAACCUUACCAGGUCUUGACAUCCUCUGACAACCCUAGAGAUAGGGCUUUCCCCUUCGGGGGACAGAGUGACAGGUGGUGCAUGGUUGUCGUCAGCUCGUGUCGUGAGAUGUUGGGUUAAGUCCCGCAACGAGCGCAACCCUUGAUCUUAGUUGCCAGCAUUCAGUUGGGCACUCUAAGAUGACUGCCGGUGACAAACCGGAGGAAGGUGGGGAUGACGUCAAAUCAUCAUGCCCCUUAUGACCUGGGCUACACACGUGCUACAAUGGACGGUACAAAGGGCAGCGAGACCGCGAGGUUUAGCCAAUCCCAUAAAACCGUUCUCAGUUCGGAUUGCAGGCUGCAACUCGCCUGCAUGAAGCUGGAAUCGCUAGUAAUCGCGGAUCAGCAUGCCGCGGUGAAUACGUUCCCGGGCCUUGUACACACCGCCCGUCACACCACGAGAGUUUGUAACACCCGAAGUCGGUGAGGUAACCUUUUGGAGCCAGCCC